CAAAAGCGUAUAUUAAAGUUGUUGCAGUUAAAAAGCUCGUAGUUGAACCUUGGGCUUGGCUGGCCGGUCCAUCUUUUUUGAUGCGUACUGGACCCAGCCGAGCCUUUCCUUCUGGCUAGCCUUUUGGUGAACCAGGACUUUUACUUUGAAAAAAUUAGAGUGUUCAAAGCAGGCCUUUGCUCGAAUAUAUUAGCAUGGAAUAAUAGAAUAGGACGUUAUGGUUCUAUUUUGUUGGUUUCUAGGACCAUCGUAAUGAUUAAUAGGGACGGUCGGGGGUAUCAGUAUUCAGUUGUCAGAGGUGAAAUUCUUGGAUUUACUGAAGACUAACUACUGCGAAAGCAUUUACCAAGGACGUUUUCAUUAA
rnacentral:rRNA from 1 species